GAUAACUGAGUAAAGAGCAGGGAGAGGUCCUAUUGAUCUGCUUGUUACUACCUCGAUGUUGGCUUGUUGAACCUUUCUGGUGUAGAGGCUAGAAAAGGAAGUCUGUUCGACUUUUAAAUCAUCAUGAGCUGAGUUAAGACCGGUGUAAGCCAGGUU
rnacentral:ncRNA from 1 species